rnacentral:rRNA from 1 species
CACGUAGGGUGCGGGCGUUGUCCGGAAUUAUUGGGGCGUAAAGGGCGCGUAGGCGGCCUUCUAAGUCAGACGUGAAAUCCCCCGGCUUAACCUGGGAACUGCGUCUGAUACUGGGAGGCUUGAGUAUGGGAGAGGGAUGCAGAAUUCCAGGUGUAGCGGUGAAAUGCGUAGAUAUCUGGAGGAAUACCGGUGGCGAAGGCGGCAUCCUGGACCGAGAUUGACGCUGAUGAGCGAAAGCUAGGGGAGCAAACGGGG